rnacentral:rRNA from 1 species
UACGUAGGGUGCAAGCGUUAAUCGGAAUACUGGGCGUAAAGCGUGCGCAGGCGGUGAUGUAAGACAGAUGUGAAAUCCCCGGGCUCAACCCGGGAACUGCUUCUGAUACUGGCGUGCUUGAGGCGAGUAGAGGUCACUGGAACUGACGGUGGAGCGGUGAAAUGCGUAGAUAUCGUCAGGAACGCCAAUGGUGAAGACAGGUGACUGGGCUCGAUCUGACACUGAGGCACGAAAGCGUGGGGAGCGAACGGG